rnacentral:rRNA from 1 species
UACGAAGGGGGCUAGCGUUGUUCGGAAUUACUGGGCGUAAAGCGCGCGCAGGCGGUUUUUCAAGUCAGUGGUGAAAGCCCGGAGCUCAACUCCGGAACUGCCAUUGAAACUGUUAAACUUGAGGAUGAGAGAGGUGAGUGGAAUUCCCAGUGUAGAGGUGAAAUUCGUAGAUAUUGGGAAGAACACCGGUGGCGAAGGCGGUUCUCUGGGCCUUACCUGACGCUGAGGAGCGAAAGCAUGGGGAGCAAACAGG